CCCUCCAAGAGUAGAACCCAGCCCGCCGCUCAAUCAAGAUUCAUCGGCGCAUUCUUCCCCCCACAAAUACAAACCAGUCCGCCAUCCACCGCUCAAUCAAGAUUCACCGACACAUUCUUCUCCCCAAAAUCCUUUUGUAGCCGUUGUCAAAAUAUAGUGCAGAUUCAAUCCAGGUUAGUUCUCUGCAAUCUUCGGGUUUCAAUUUUAGUUGUGGGAAAUGCUUUUUCAUUGUUGGCCUGAGUUGGCCGAUUGGGUCUUGAUAUAGGGACUCAAAAUUAGCUUCAAUUAUGGGCAUCCCUUUUUCUGUCCCAUUAAAAUGAGUAUUCUUAGGAAAAGAUCUCUAGGUAACUGAUUUAUUAUUUUCUGCCACUUUUGGAUGAAGUUUGUAGCACCUUGUUCUAAGGAUCUUUAACUUGAUUACUUUAUUUUGCAGGUAGUAGGUAGUUUAUGAAGAAGUUAAGAUGCUAGUUCAAAGAAAAUGAAGCUUGCUAUUGAUUGCUAUUUCAUCAAGAUGUCAGGCUAUAUGUAAUUUGCUAAUUUGCUACUGUACUGUAAAAUAGGAAGUUGGUAUUUUGUUACUGUAUUGUAAAGCCCCACCACGUUUAGUAUCCAAUCUGCUGUGUUAUAAAAUAGGUGGCCGAAUUCUCAUCAAUUCAUUGUGGUUUAAAAUAUUCAUCUUAUUUUGCUGAUAAUUUUGUCAUCAUUG
rnacentral:lncRNA from 1 species